rnacentral:rRNA from 1 species
UACAGAGGGUGCAAGCGUUAAUCGGAAUUACUGGGCGUAAAGCGUGCGUAGUCGGUUAUCUAAGUCGGGUGUGAAAUCCCCGGGCUCAACCUGGGAAUUGCAUUCGAAACUGGAUAGCUAGAGUUCGGCAGAGGGAAGCGGAAUUUCCGGUGUAGCGGUGAAAUGCGUAGAUAUCGGAAGGAACAUCAGUGGCGAAAGCGGCUUCCUGGACCAGAACUGACGAUCAGGCACGAAAGCGUGGGGAGCAAACAGG